AAAUAAUGCAAUGCUUAUAUUAGAUGUCCCAACUUCUAUAGACAGAGGAAUGACAACAGAAAUCUUCAAACCAUCUGGCCUGUAAGGAAAUAACAUAGGGCUCCUAGCAAAACACACACCCAUGCCAAAUAAAAAAUACAUGAAAGAAUUUAAGAGAAGAAUCAGGAACUUGCUCUUACUCCAUACAAUUCCCUUAAGGUCUCAAUUACUGGCCGGAAACCAGUCCUCAAAGGCAAAACUGAGACUGCUCGCAAGUGUUGUGCAUUACCAUUCUUGGGUUUUGACAGUGUCAUCUUAAACAUCUCCCCUUCUAGAAUUGUUCCAGCAUUGGCGGCAGCAAAAGGGUGAAUCUUGGCGAAGUCAAAAAACUCAUCAGCAGAGCAUCCAAACAAGACUCUAGCAGCCCUAUCAAAGCAUAUGACAUUAAGCACCUUGGUAUCAGUGGCUAUUGAAACCUGCCCACCAAAAGAAAAUGCCUAUUAAAAAAGAAAAAUCGAUUGCCUUUAAGACCCAC
rnacentral:misc_RNA from 1 species